GUUAUACUCUCUCCGUCCAACAAAAGAUGUCUCAAGUUUGUCAAAAUUUAGAUCUAUCUAGACAUGACUUAGUGUAUAAAUGCAUGAAAAUUUAGUUAAAGUUGAGACAGUCUUUGUUGGACGGAGGAAGUACUUU
rfam:Brachypodium distachyon strain Bd21 chromosome 3, whole genome shotgun sequence.